GAUGAACGCUGGCGGCGUGCCUAAUACAUGCAAGUCGAGCGAACGGACGAGACGCUUUCUUCUCUGAUGUUAGCGGCGGACGGGUGAGUAACACGUGGAUAACCUACCUAUAAGACUGGGAUAACUUCGUGAAACCGGAGCUAAUACCGGAUAAUAUUUUGAACCGCAUGGUUCAAAAGUGAAAGACGGUCUUGCUGUCACUUAUAGAUGGAUCCGCGCUGCAUUAGCUAGUUGGUAAGGUAACGGCUUACCAAGGCAACGAUGCAUAGCCGACCUGAGAGGGUGAUCGGCCACACUGGAACUGAGACACGGUCCAGACUCCUACGGGAGGCAGCAGUAGGGAAUAUUGCGCAAUGGGCGAAAGCCUGACGGAGCAAUGCCGCGUGAGUGAUGAAGGUCUUCGGAUCGUAAAACUCUGUUAUUAGGGAAGAACAUAUGUGUAAGUAACUGUGCACAUAUUGACGGUACCUAAUCAGAAAGCCACGGCUAACUACGUG
rnacentral:rRNA from 1 species